AGAGAGAGGAGAGAGGAGCAGCCAUGCCGACAAUCUGCUGACCUGCUGAAGCAGCCUUUCCCCUGCCCACCGAGGUGUACCCAUGCCUGUGAUCCAUCUUGUGUGUGCCAAGCCAGCUGAGUGCCCUCCGACUGUCCCAUCUCCUACAAAUACGGAAGACGAGAAGUGCCUGGAUGAGCCCAGCCAUCCUGAAUGGCUUCGUGGGAUGUCAGGAAAGGACACAAUGGGCCCUGCGGAGGGCGAGGCAGUCCUGGGAGAUGCCAUGAGAGAACCCCCAGGAAGGCAAAAGGCCACUAGACAUAGAAGAAUGCUGGCUUCUCUUCACUUCCUGUAUACCCGCACAUCUGUGCUACACUGGACGCACGAGAGGGAUGAAGCCCAGCCCUUUCUCACCAGAGGCUCGGAGAUCAAGGAGAGACAGACACAUGAAUACCUUUGCUCUGUGAUUUGAUCUGCAUAUUAGAAUCAUCUGUACAGAGAGGAAGAGCUCUGGUCUGAAGCUCUUCCAAGUCUCUGGCACCUCCAGCCCUGCAUGGUCUCUACAGCAUCGGCAGCUUUCUCCUCAGUUUCACACAAGAGGGUACUCUUGGGGCUGACCCAGCCAUGACCCCCAUCCCCAGCCUCCCAGGAUUUCCUUUGAAAUUUGGGUGGAUGCCUCCACGAUCUUACAACCCUUCCACUCUUCAUGGCUGCA
rnacentral:lncRNA from 1 species